GUCUUAUCUGUCCCGGUGUGGAGUGUAUGUGCGUGUGUUUUUAUUGCCCUUUGCUUUUGCAACACUGUAGUCAAACCAGAAGAAGAGGGAGGAGGGGAAAGGGAAGAGAGAGUAGAGGGAAAAGAGAGAGAGAGGGGAGGGGAAAAAAUCUUUCAUUUGCCACAAAUCCUCUUCGUUUGGCGUUUGUAAAACUAUCACAAAUCACACGCGCUCGAUUUUAAUUCCUCCUGCGACCUCCCCCUUCCCCCUCCCCGCCUUCAAACGAUCGCAUCAAAAGAACGGGGAGGGAAACAGUUCCAAAAAUUAAAUAAUUUUUAAAUUGAGAGAGAGAUCUAGCUGCCGCAACGCCAGAUUAUUUCUGAGGGCAGACAUAUUUUUGGCAACAAACGGAUUUUUUUUAAUUUUUUUUAAGGAACAAGCUUGCCUGCCUUGUAAACAGCAGGGAUGGGAGUGUGUUGUGUCUCCCCCGCCCCGUCGAGUAUUACUGACACUUAUCUUCGGGUUGGAUUCUAAACCGUUGCGUAAAAAUGACUCCUAUAUAUUUUCUCAGUCAAAGACCAGGCUUCUUUUCCUCCUCCCCCACCCUUCUCUCUCUCUUUUUUAAUCUAAUUUUUCCCCAGCUCCGCCUUUGUUGUUAAGGGCGUCAUCCUCGGCGAUAGCCAAUCAUCUGCUUUUGGUGUUCCCUGUCAAAUUAACGCCGGUUCUGAUACGCAAAAGCGACUUUUACAGACAUACAAAAUGCAAUUAGGUCUAAGGGGGUAGCAGAGAGGAACCCAGAGAUCAUCGACAAGCUUUCUCCUCGCCCUAGUGACAACAGGCGACCACGAAUGAGCUACAUGUUUGCUUAUUUUCUCCUCUGCUUUGCAUUAGCCGGAAUUGAACAGCGUGUGACGAUUUAAACACCUAUGCAGCUUUUAGAUUGUGUGCAGCCUUACUCAGAAGUAGUGUUCCACUUUGGAAUGUGUUGGCAAGCAAGCAGCAGGAAGGAGAAGGCAAAGAGAAUGGGAGGGACAUGUUGGAGAGAGUUGCACGUUUUUCCUACGCCACGAUGUCUAGACAAUUUGUAUUAAAUUGAAUGCUAAGAACCUCAAGAUGCAAACCCACA